CAUGUCCUUUCAACACGACCUGCAUAACAAAGGGUGACAACUACACGUGUAUAUCAGAUGUCAACACGGACUGUAAUGUGACCAUCACUGCUUCCAAUAGUACAAUAGCAAGUCGUGAUUAUCCAAGAGGCCAUCUUUAUGAUAAGUGGACAUCUUGCACAUGGACAAUCAAUCGCCCGGCCAAUACAAUCAUUUCUAUUGACUUUCUGGACUUUAAUCUCACUA
rnacentral:sRNA from 1 species